GAAGCAACUUCACCAUCGAACUCUGGUAUUGGUUCGACCACUUGGAUAUCGACUUGCUCGACAGCACCGCCGAUGUUGAACAUGUCAACUAGACCGAUUGGGGCAAACGAGAUGUUUGAGGUGAUGUCCUAUAGACCAAAAGAACAUUAUAGUGAAUCCACAAAACAAGUUGAUAAACAAAGAAGAAAAUGAAGGAUGGGAGUGGAGGAGGUACAUACCUUCAGAGGAGAAAUAUGGAAAAGAUCGUAUUCUAAAACUUUGAGGGUAACAGGAACUGAAGCACCUUUUGGCAAUCGAGUCAAAUCUCCUGAAAAACAAAUCAAAUUCCUUUUGUUAGAAUUUCUUUUCCUAUUUCUAACUAACACAAGAAAACCCAUCAUGAAUCUUGGUUAUAAAGAGUGAUAUAUCCAUGUACCUGAUCGAUAGGCAUAAACGAUAG
rnacentral:lncRNA from 1 species